UACGGGGGGAGCAAGCGUUGUUCGGAUUUACUGGGCGUAAAGGGCGCGUAGGCGGCCACCGCAAGUCAGUUGUGAAAUCUCUGGGCUUAACCCAGAACGGUCAGCUGAUCCUGCGGGGCUAGAGUGCAGAAGGGGCAACUGGAAUUCUCGGUGUAGCGGUGAAAUGCGUAGAUAUCGAGAGGAACACCUGCGGCGAAGGCGGGUUGCUGGGCUGACACUGACGCUGACAGCGCGAAAGCUAGGGGAGCGAACGGG
rnacentral:rRNA from 1 species